AAAAAGACAAACCCUGGGUUUCCGUGCCAACGUUUGACCGUCUGUCUUCUAUGAAUUUUUUUAUAAUUAGUAUUUUCAUUGUUGUUAGAUAAUAAAAUAUGAUUAAUACUUUAUGCGUGACUUAUCUUUUUAUUUUUUUCAUAAUUUUUUCAAAUAAGAUGGACGGUCAAACGUUGGACACGAAAACCAGGGUUUGUCUUUUU
rfam:Oryza rufipogon genomic scaffold, chr03